GGAGCGGCUUCGGAAGGAAGAAGGCCAGGUCCGCCUGCGGGCCCUCUAUGCUCUGCAGGAGGAGAUGCUGCAGCUCAGCCAGCAGCUGGAUGCCUCUGAGCAGCACAAAGCCCUGCUUAAGGUCGACCUGGCUGCCUUCCAGACCCGAGGCAACCAGCUGUGCAGCCUCAUCUCAGGGAUCAUCCGGGCCUCUUCAGAGAGCAGCUAUCCCACAGCAGAGAGUCAAGCUGAGGCUGAGCGAGCUCUGCAGGAAAUGCGGGACCUCCUGAUGAACUUGGGGCAGGAGAUCACCAGAGCCUGCGAAGACAAGAGGAGGCAGGAUGAAGAGGCCCAGGUAAAGCUGCAAGAGGCACAGAUGCAGCAGGGACCAGAGGCCCACAAAGAGCCCCCAGCUCCCAGCCAGGGCCCAGGAGGGAAACAGAAUGAAGACCUCCAGGUGAAGGUACAAGACAUUACAAUGCAGUGGUACCAGCAGCUGCAGGAUGCUUCCAUGCAGUGUGUGUUGACCUUUGAGGGCCUGACCAACAGCAAGGACAGUCAGGCCAAAAAGAUAAAGAUGGACCUCCAGAAGGCUGCUACCAUCCCAGUGAGCCAAAUCUCUACCAUUGCAGAUUGCCGUUCUUUGGUCUUCAUGGCAGGCUCAAAACUGAAGGAGAUCUUUGACAAGAUCCACAGCCUGCUCUCUGGAAAACCUGUUCAAUCUGGUGGGCGCUCUGUGUCUGUCACACUUAACCCACAGGGGCUGGACUUUGUUCAAUACAAACUGGCAGAGAAA
rnacentral:sRNA from 1 species